ACCUGGGUGGCUCAGUCGGUUGAGCGUCCGACUUCGGCUCGGCUCAUGAUCUCGCGGUCCGUGGGUUCGAGCCCCGCGUCGGGCU
rfam:Felis catus isolate Cinnamon breed Abyssinian chromosome E3, whole genome shotgun sequence.